CAGCCGCCGCGGUAAUACGAAGGGGGCUAGCGUUACUCGGAAUUACUGGGCGUAAAGCGUGCGUAGGUGGUGGUUUAAGUCCGUUGUGAAAGCCCUGGGCUCAACCUGGGAAUUGCAGUGGAUACUGGGUCACUAGAGUGUGGUAGAGGAUAGUGGAAUUUCCGGUGUAGCAGUGAAAUGCGUAGAGAUCGGAAGGAACAUCUGUGGCGAAGGCGACUAUCUGGGCCAACACUGACACUGAGGCACGAAAGCGUGGGGAGCAAACAGGAUUAGAUACCCCGGUAGUCCCUGUCUCUUAUAC
rnacentral:rRNA from 1 species